CCGACGUGCCUCAGCAUCUAGAUGUAAACGCUGCUAACAAGAUGAAAGCUACCCAGCAAAAGAUCCGCCGACCCAUGUACCGGCACAUAUUAGCCUAUCAUAUAGAUCCGCCCAACCCAGCAUAAAAGGGUCCGGCAAAGAGCUCCUCGCUCUCAGUCUCUGUAUUCAACGUUUAUCGUGACUUACAAUACACGUCUUCAAUCCUAUUCACCGCCUUGUUACAAUAGUAUUAAUACUUUUUUAUUGGUGAAACAGACAGUAGCAAUUGCGAAGUUGGUCCCUAACAAUUUGAAAGUUCUUGAAGACAAAGAGAAUCGAGAGGAAAGGUCCAAGUCUCUCAAGGUGGAGCAAUUGCAGGAGGAGAUAUAUCAAAAGAAUCUUAAAAUAGAAAAGCAGCAGAUAGAAAUCGACAAGUUGCGAGAUCAAGUUUCGGAAUAUCGGACAUACUACAAACGCGAAUUAAUUGAAAAGGCACGCAUUCUUGGAAAAAUGGAAAAGUACGACAGGGAGAAGGCUAAAUUGGAAGCUAAGGCUAAGACGCAGAAGAAAAGACAUGACACAGAGUAGUGUUAGGUUGUAAUCCGGGUAGUUAAUUUAAGUAAAUUAACGGAGUGUAUUAAGCGAGGCGAAAGGAGCUUCUCUCUACGGACUCAGCCGAAACCAGACUGCCCUUCUUCCUGCUCGCUGCUUCCAAGCUUCAGCGCUUGAGCGCCGCACGACAUCUAGCGGUCGCGGGAAGAAGGGCACAAUAACACAACAAGUAGGAAUUGAAUAA